AGUGAACGCUGGCGGUAGGCCUAACACAUGCAAGUCGAACGGCAGCACAGUAAGAGCUUGCUCUUACGGGUGGCGAGUGGCGGACGGGUGAGGAAUACAUCGGAAUCUACUUUUUCGUGGGGGAUAACGUAGGGAAACUUACGCUAAUACCGCAUACGACCUACGGGUGAAAGCAGGGGAUCUUCGGACCUUGCGCGAUUGAAUGAGCCGAUGUGGGAUUAGCUAGUUGGCGGGGUAAAGGCCCACCAAGGCGACGAUCCGUAGCUGGUCUGAGAGGAUGAUCAGCCACACUGGAACUGAGACACGGUCCAGACUCCUACGGGAGGCAGCAGUGGGGAAUAUUGGACAAUGGGCGCAAGCCUGAUCCAGCCAUACCGCGUGGGUGAAGAAGGCCUUCGGGUUGUAAAGCCCUUUUGUGGGGAAAGAAAAGCAGCAGGUUAAUACCCCGCUGUUCUGACGGUACCCAAAGAAUAAGCACCGGCUAACUUCGUG
rnacentral:rRNA from 1 species